UUGUCCGGAGUUACUGGGCGUAAAGCGCACGCAGGCGGUCUGUUAAGGUUGGCGUGACAGUUGGUGGCUCAACCACCAAAGUGCUUUGAAAACUGAUAGACUUGAGGGCUUCAGAGGGACACGGAAUUCCGGGUGGAGUGGUGAAAUGCGUAGAGAUCCGGAGGAACACCAAAGGCGAAGGCAGUGUCCUGGGGAGUACCUGACGCUCAGGUGCGAAAGCCAGGGGAGCGAACGGG
rnacentral:rRNA from 1 species